AGCUCCAAUAGCGUAUAUUAAAGUUGUUGCAGUUAAAAAGCUCGUAGUCGGAACUCAGGCUGGGGCGCUGUGCCCAGCACUGCUGCGUGUGCAGGGCCCCGGUCUUCCUUCUGGCGACUGCGGGAUGCCCUUUACUGGGUGUUCCGUGUGGAGUCAGGACGUUUACUGUGAAAAAAUUAGAGUGUUUAAAGCAGGCGAUUGCUGUGAAUACAUUAGCAUGGAAUAAUAGAAUAGGACUUGGGUUCUAUUUUGUUGGUUUUUGGAACCGAAGUAAUGAUUAAUAGGGACAGUUGGGGGCAUUCGUAUUUCAUUGUCAGAGGUGAAAUUCUUGGAUUUAUGAAAGACGAACCGCUGCGAAAGCGUCUGCCAAGGAUGUUUUCAUUGAUCAAGAACGAAAGUA
rnacentral:rRNA from 1 species